rnacentral:rRNA from 1 species
GUCUGCCUACGGGACGCAGCAGUGUGGGAUAUUGCACAAUGGGGGGAACCCUGAUGCAGCGACGCCGCGUGGGUGAAGAAGCGCCUCGGCGCGUAAAGCCCUGUCAGCAGGGAAGAAAAUGACAGUACCUGACCAAGAAGCCCCGGCUAACUACGUGCCAGCAGCCGCGGUAAUACGUAGGGGGCAAGCGUUAUCCGGAUUUACUGGGUGUAAAGGGAGCGUAGACGGUUAUGUAAGUCUGGAGUGAAAGCCCGGGGCCCAACCCCGGG